CAUAUUUUGUAGAACUGUCACAAGCAAGUGUACCAGAGGGAGAGCGGUUGAUUAGUACGGUCUCGAGUGGAGCUUUCCAGGAGAACCUACGGUUUCGACUCGUUAAGUACCGGAUCGGCGUAUGCCCGAGACCCCGAGUACCGGAAGCCAUACUACGUUCAGUCAGGAGCAGUUCGUAGGACAUCGCCAUCAGUAAGCAAAACACCACAUCGCGACAGCCACACAAGAAAGAUCGAGUCCCCAGGGAGGCUAGGGUGGAAUUUCUGUUUAGACUAGGUGUAUGCCCGAGAACCCGAGUACCAGAAGCCAUACUACGUCCAGCCACGCAGACAGGAGCAGUUCGCAGGACAUCAAUAAGAAAGACACCACGUCGCGACAGCCACGCAAGACAGAUCGAGUACCCAGUGUGUCUAGGGUAGAAUGUCUGUUUAAACUAGGCGUAGAAACAAAGUGAAGCGCGAGGUAGCUUCCUGGGGUUCAGCCUUGACUGUCCGCGUGAUGUGGUCAGAAACCGUAGUGGGUCUAUCCGGUUCGUGUGUCAAAAGAUGUAAUCGUGGAGAGCGCGGCAUUCUGUUCAAUACAGUCUGAGAACGGUGGCGCUUUCCUAAGCCCACAUGGCUGCCCACCCCGGGAGUCUAAGUCGUUGCCAAGCAACGCGUCACGGACAAGCAGGGAGCAAGUAUCUUCAGGGAGCUAUAGGACUGCUUCACCAGUCAGUCAACAAGGCGAGAGGACAUCGAGGCAAGCAGGACCGUCGAAGACACUAUUGUACCCUCACUAAACCCCCUACGAACCCGCAAAUUCUGUAUUUUUUACCGAACUACUGGGCUAUAACGUUUAUUUAAAUUUUGUGGGACGAACACACACAUUUUACAUAUAAACGAAAGACUUUUACUUAUUAGGCUUAAUAUAACUUCAUAUAAAAAAAACGGCACAAAAUUUAGGGUGGCAAAAUUUUGGUUGAAGUUUUAGGACGGCAGUCCAGUCAAGAAAUAAUUAGUUUAAUAUAUUUCUUGAGCUGUCAACUUCGGCAUCAAGGCCGAAAAGCUAUUAUGCCUCUGUAAGCAAUAUUUUAAUAGUAUCGCAAUUUUUAUCCCACAAUGUAUUCUUAAAUACAAACGGCGACAACGGGCAAGGGUAAACCAAAACGAUACGUUUAUAAUGUACUCUGUUUUUUGUGCAUAUAUUGCAUCUGUUGGAACUGGUCCUUUUUCAAGACGUGAGCCGAAAUACGCAUAAACCCAACAAGAUCUAGGUCGCUUCUUAUUGUUUAAAUUGUGCCGUGCGACACAUUUUGAUUUAUUUAUAAAAGUAAUAUUUUUUACAACCUUACAAGACGUUAUGCGCUGACUCACGUUUAAAAUACUCCCCUUUUUGAGAUUAUUUAUAGGUUUUACAGCAUAACCUAGAAAAUUCUGGUUUCGUUAACCGAAGGUGACAUGGUGAAAUGUUUUUUGUCAAUAUUAAUCCGGCAAAGGUUUUACGCAGGUGGAAUAGAACCGUUGGCCUAGGACUUAGAGGGUCCAGACAAAUGGUUCAGGUGGGCCUAUGUAAAAAACUAAUUAAUGAAUCUGAAAGAUAGGCUGAUUAACAAUUGUUGUCUACAGACAGAAAACCUAAAUAAUUUAAUUUAAAUAAAAUAAAGUAAAAUAUAAAUAAAUAUGUAAGUAUUUUAAAUUUUAUAUUUUAUUCUUAUUCUAUAUUUUCAAAUUAACCCUCAUCGAAAAUAUUUGAAAUUUUACAGGGAUAUCAAAUGCAUUUUCACUUGUGAAAAACCGGACAACCCACUUAAUUAAUACUUCUUAUACUUCACACAUGCAAGCUGCAACGUAACGCGGUUUAACACGGUGAUUCAUAAGUAAACCUCAGCUUCGGAACAGAAGGGUUGCUUUAGUAAUUCUUUUUGUUGUUUUCCUGUGCAGGAUUUUUGUCGACAUUGAUUUCUUCUAGUGACUUUCAGAAUCUUUUUAUCCCUUUGUAUAUUUUGUCUUGGAUUGUUAAUCGUGAUAGUGGAUCUGCGAUGUGAUUGCCGUUUCUCUUUAGAUUUUCAACAGUAAAAUUUUACACCUCUAAGUCAAGUUUAAUUCUUGUUAAUUUGAAUCUAAUUUUGAAUAGGAUAUGGAAAAUAUAUGUGUAAGUGGGCUACGGUCUGUUUUUAAUGUGAAGAGUUUUUCGUAAAUAUUUGUUCCCAGGUACUGUCGGAGUACUCUUUCUGAAGAUGGUGGCUCUAGGUCGGCGACUGCUGCUACGUUUUCCGGAUCCGAGCCUAUUCCUUCGCUUGCGGUGAUAUUUCGGGACCGAUGAAACGGUCCAGUACUCGUUGAAAAGCCACACACGCCGAGUGAAGUCCAAAUGCCAUUAGUUUUCACUGGAAUAAGCACUUAAAACGCUUUGCCAGAAUAUAAUUUAUUCGGGACAUUUGGUAGGCAUCCUUUAUAGGGUUGGCGUUGAUUUGCCUGAAGUCUGCGCACAGUCUCUACUUGUCCGUAAUUUUGUUAACCAUCACAAUGGGAGAGCUGUAUGGUAUUUUUGAGUGCUCUAUGUACCCCAUUGGAAGAAACUCGUACACCUUUGCGUUGAUGUCCCAUUGAACUUUCGAAUUCUUGGGGUAGUAUCGUUGCUUAACUGGUUUGUCUUUCUUAAUCGUCAUCUGUUGCCAUGUUUGAUGUUCUCGUCAUAUUAUCGAAGAUCGCUAACUCUGCAUCCAGGGAUUUCGUCGUGUCGUUAUCCUCGCAUGUGUGUUGCACGACUGCCACCGAACUUGGCUUUAUGCUAGCAACAUUUGAGAGAGAAAGAGAGACAACAGGUUGGUUAUGCUGCUAAGUAUGCAGCCUUCAUCCCGAGCGCUUCGCUUCUGAUCACACGUCAACUCAUAUUGACAGUCAAUUUUAAAUGUUCAUUUGAAGCCGGAAACCCUUUAACGACACUGUAGUAUCCUUGGAGUUAUCUUGCAGUAUUCUUGGAGCUAUUUCGUUGAAUCCUUAAAGUUUUCUUGUAGUAUUGUGAGGAGUUGAAUAACUCCACAUAAAUCCAUCAGCAAUAGCAGCAGAUGUCCGCCCACUUACCAGGUACGCGGCGAAUUCGCGUAGUAACGGCGCGGCGAAGAGCGGUUGGAGAACGUGAGAGUUUGAGGAUCAAGGAUGGAGAACGUGAAAGUUUGGGGAGCGUGAAAGUUUGGAGAGCAAUAGGUGGAGAAAGAGGGAGAGAAGACCUGGCGGGCAAAGCGAGAGUGCCGUGUGCAAAAGGGCGUAACGGGACGCCGCCAGGCUUUGGACUCUGUCGUGAACUUUGAACCAAGAGAGAAGAGAGAAGGUACCACAUCUCGGCAGCGGAGCGGCACACAAGCAUACCACAUGCAUCACCGGAAACAGCGGGACAGCAGCAUUAGGCAGGAUGUCGGUGGGAAGCUGAGCAUGAAGGACAUGUGGGUCAAACAGGAGCCAUGGAUUUUGGACCCGGUGUGGAGAGUUUCGGCAGGCCGUGCGCAAAAGGGAAAUAAUGGUUCCCGGAGGCCCUAUAUAAACCCGCAGGGUGCUCUCAGAAGGGGGAGUUGAUCGGAUGGAUCGAUCGGGAUCAGUCGAUCACGAGCAGUCAAUCAGAGUCAAGCAAUCAAGAGUAGAUAACGAAGUCCUUGCGUUACGCCUGGAGGGUCUGCCAGAACUUGAGCAGAGAAGGCCGGCGACAAGAAAUCGUGAGCUCGGGGGUAAGCCUGUCUAAACCCAGUGUACCUCACCCCAAGAACUACUUUGAGCCCCGUGCGUCAAGUGGAAUUAAGCAGGUCCUGGCGGGAUCCGCCAGAAGGGAGAGCGGUCAAUCAGUACGGUCUUGAGUGGAAUUUUCCAGGACAGCCUAUGGUUUCGACUCGUAAAGUCCCGCAGCGGCGAGUCCGAGCCUCGAGUGUAACGAGCUAGAAGGGAGAGAAGUCCCGGAUCAGCGCAUGCCCGAGAACCAGAAGCCACGCUUCAUACACCCACGCAGCUUGGAGCAGUUCGCAGGACACGGCCAUCAGCAAGCAAGACACCACUUCGCAACAGGGUGGAACUUUCGUUUACACAGACGGUCGUGUGUCAAGAGGAGUGAUCCUGGAGAGCGCGUCAGUCUGUUCACCCCAGUCUGAGAACGGUGACGCUUCCCUAAGCUAGUCUGAGUCGUUGCCAAGCAAUCGCCGAGUCAAUGCGUCAAGGACAACAAGCGAACAAGGAUCUUCAGGAAGCUUCUGGACUGGAACACCGAGUCAAAGAGGCGUGAGGACAUCGAGACAACCAAGACCGUCGGAGACACAAAGGGCCAUCUACUGAGCUAGACGCACGAAUCUCGUAGGGAGCGGAACGUAAAAAAAUCAUUUCGUUACAGUAUCCCUGGUGUUAAUUUAUAGUAUCCUUGAAGUUAUCUUGUUAUUUUACUGUAUCCUUGGAGUGUUAAAAUGAAUAACCAAUGAAUCCACUACACUGUAGUGGCGACUGAAUCGGCC